rnacentral:rRNA from 1 species
GACGAACGCUGGCGGCGUGCUUAACACACGCAAGUCGAACGGAAAGGCCCUGCUUUUGUGGGGUGCUCGAGUGGCGAACGGGUGAGUAACACGUGAGUAACCUGCCCUUGACUUUGGGAUAACUUCAGGAAACUGGGGCUAAUACCGGAUAGGAGCUCCUGCUGCAUGGUGGGGGUUGGAAAGUUUCGGCGGUUGGGGAUGGACUCGCGGCUUAUCAGCUUGUUGGUGGGGUAGUGGCUUACCAAGGCUUUGACGGGUAGCCGGCCUGAGAGGGUGACCGGCCACAUUGGGACUGAGAUACGGCCCAGACUCCUACGGGAGGCAGCAGUGGGGAAUAUUGCACAAUGGGCGGAAGCCUGAUGCAGCAACGCCGCGUGCGGGAUGACGGCCUUCGGGUUGUAAACCGCUUUCGCCUGUGACGAAGCGUGAGUGACGGUAAUGGGUAAAGAAGCACCGGCUAACUACGUGCCAGCAGCCGCGGUGAUACGUAGGGUGCGAGCGUUGUCCGGAUUUAUUGGGCGUAAAGGGCUCGUAGGUGGUUGAUCGCGUCGGAAGUGUAAUCUUGGGGCUUAACCCUGAGCGUGCUUUCGAUACGGGUUGACUUGAGGAAGGUAGGGGAGAAUGGAAUUCCUGGUGGAGCGGUGGAAUGCGCAGAUAUCAGGAGGAACACCAGUGGCGAAGGCGGUUCUCUGGGCCUUUCCUGACGCUGAGGAGCGAAAGCGUGGGGAGCGAACAGGCUUAGAUACCCUGGUAGUCCGCGCUGUAAACGGUGGGUACUAGGUGUGGGGUCCAUUCCACGGGUUCCGUGCCGUAGCUAACGCUUUAAGUACCCCGCCUGGGGAGUACGGCCGCAAGGCUAAAACUCAAAGGAAUUGACGGGGCCCCGCACAAGCGGCGGAGCAUGCGGAUUAAUUCGAUGCAACGCGUAGAACCUUACCUGGGUUUGACAUGGAUCGGGAGCGCUCAGAGAUGGGUGUGCCUCUUUUGGGGUCGGUUCACAGGUGGUGCAUGGCUGUCGUCAGCUCGUGUCGUGAGAUGUUGGGUUAAGUCCCGCAACGAGCGCAACCCUUGUUCACUGUUGCCAGCACGUUAUGGUGGGGACUCAGUGGAGACCGCCGGGGUCAACUCGGAGGAAGGUGGGGAUGACGUCAAGUCAUCAUGCCCCUUAUGUCCAGGGCUUCACGCAUGCUACAAUGGCUGGUACAGAGAGUGGCGAGCCUGUGAGGGUGAGCGAAUCUCGGAAAGCCGGUCUCAGUUCGGAUUGGGGUCUGCAACUCGACCUCAUGAAGUCGGAGUCGCUAGUAAUCGCAGAUCAGCAACGCUGCGGUGAAUACGUUCCCGGG